GUGUUGUUUCACACUUGUUUUUAGUUUUAUCUAUCAAGUGUUUUCUUGGGAAUUCUAGAACUAUUUGUCUAUUUAUUGAAUUUUUGGUUUGAUUUAACAACUUUGAUGUUGUGUUUUGGUGAGGAUAAGGAUGAAAGUUUCGAUCUUUAAAGGGGAAAGAUUGUUUUUAGUGGUUGUAAAAGUGAACAGGGUGUGAAGAGCUACAGUUCUGUAUGUGGGGGUUGUUAGAUCGUGUGAUUUUUUGGAAUUAACGGUUGAUAUUUCUGGGUUUUGGAACUGAAGAGAAUUUAAUUGGGUAAAACUGGGUUUCUUCUAUUUUAGGACUCAACGAGUACUGAUUCAGCAGAAAUGACUAUAGGGGAUCAAAGCGAGUCGGACUCGAUACUUCCUUGUAGG
rnacentral:misc_RNA from 1 species